rnacentral:ncRNA from 1 species
UACAGAGUAGAAAGUACGCAUAAAGUGCCGAUGGACGGGAAGUUGCUGUCGGACGACGCGGUCGAAAUACGACCGGAUGAUGUGCUUUCGCAUCCGCUGUC